rnacentral:tmRNA from 1 species
GGGGAUGACCGGUUUCGACGGGAAGCUCUUUAACAAAACAGCAAGCCAAGUUUGAUAAACACUUGUAAAAAGAUAUCAAAAAAUAAAAGCUGAUACACAAUAUCAAGCUUCAUUUAACUACGCAUACGCGUACGCUUAAUUGACGUCCUGACGUUUGGUUCUCGACUGAACUGACUGGGUGUAAACCAAUUCGAGAUGCUAACUAAUUUCUUUUGAUUUAGAGAAAUUUUUUAAAAGAUAAUUAAAUCUUACUUUAAAUUCCUGUUAGUUGGAUAAAUUUAAAGGAAAAAUUAUUAACUAAAUAAGCUUGUAGAAGUUUUGUUUUUAAGUUUUUCGGAUGAGGGUUCGAUUCCCUCCAUCUCCACCA